AAGAGAGAAAGGUCAGGCAGUUUCAAUUUUGCUCAACCCAAAUUAAAGGGAGAAAACCAUUCAAAGUUUCAUCCCAAGUCAUCAGCUCCAUCUCAUUCUUUCGCCAGUGUUCCAGCUCCUCCCUCUGCUAGUGCCCCAAUGCCAAAAUUCAGAGACGCCAACAGAGAUAGAGCACCAGGCUCUAAAUUUCAGGGCAGUGUUAGCAGUGCCCGAACAAAUCCCCUAUGUCAGAC
rnacentral:lncRNA from 1 species